UACGAGAGGCCCAAACGUUAUUCGGAUUUACUGGGCUUAAAGAGUCCGUAGGCGGCGCAGAAAGUGGGGUGUGAAAUCCCUCGGCUUAACCGGGGAACUGCGUCUGAUACUGGAUGGCUAGAGAUUGGGAGAGGGAUGCGGAAUUCCAGGUGUAGCGGUGAAAUGCGUAGAUAUCGGAAGGAACAUCAGUGGCGAAAGCGACUUCCUGGACCAAUACUGACGCUCAUGUGCGAAAGCGUGGGGAGCAAACAGGG
rnacentral:rRNA from 1 species